AGGGCACCACCAGGAGUGGAGCCUGCGGCUUAAUUUGACUCAACACGGGAAAACUCACCCGGCCCGGACACUGGAAGGAUUGACAGAUUGAGAGCUCUUUCUUGAUUCAGUGGGUGGUGGUGCAUGGCCGUUCUUAGUUGGUGGAGUGAUUUGUCUGGUUAAUUCCGAUAACGAACGAGACUCUAGCCUACUAAAUAGAUCGUCGGCUUACAAACGCCGGCGAGACUUCUUAGAGGGACAGGCGGUGAUUCAACCGCACGAAACAGAGCAAUAACAGGUCUGUGAUGCCCUUAGAUGUCCGGGGCCGCACGCGCGCUACACUGAAGUGAUCAGCGUGCUUUUUCAACCUACUCUGUCAAGAGUGGGGAACCCAAUGAACCUUCUUCGUGAUUGGGAUAGGGGAUUGUAAUUAUUCCCCUUGAACGAGGAAUUCCCAGUAAGCGCGAGUCAUAGGCUCGCGUUGAUUACGUCCCUGCCCUUUGUACACACCGCCCGUCGCUACUACCGAUUGAACGAUUU
rnacentral:rRNA from 1 species